rnacentral:lncRNA from 1 species
CAUAGACGACCAGCAGGUACUGCGCGGCGGCGCGGCCGUGGCGGUUGCUGGCGCUGCAGCUGUAGGUGCCGUUGUCGUGGGGGCUGAGGGCCGCCAUGGUCAGCACGGCGCCUUCCGGCCGGGCACGAGGGGGGAGGGAGUCGUUACUGCGGCUCCAUGUGAUGUCUGUGGGGAGUGGGUUCCCGGUGACGGCGCAGGUGAGCACCAACGUGUCGCCCUCCCGCAGGACGCUCUGGGAGGGGUGGAUCCGCGCCGUGGGGGCGUACUGCACGUCCAACAUGUACUGCGUCUGCCUGCGCUGUCCCCCCAGGGCGGGGUGUGUGGCCUCGCAGGUGACGAUGGUGCCGUGGUCGCGCCGCUCCACCCGGAAGCGCACCACGCUGCGCAGGCUGAACACCUUCCCGUGCACCUCCCGCAGCACCGAGCCGUGGAUCUCCCUCUUCUCGCGAUACCAGCGCAGCGUUGCCGGAGGCCGCGACCGCGGCACGGCGCAGCUCAGCUCCACCUCCGCGCCCUCCACGGCCGCCUCCGCCGCCUCCACCACGGGGUUCUCCGGAGGCACCAGCACGGUGAGGGUUGCAAUCUG